rnacentral:rRNA from 1 species
ACAAGCGGUAGAUGAUGUGGAUUAAUUCGAUGCAACGCGAAGAACCUUACCUACCCUUGACAUCCCUGGAAUCCCCUGGAAACAGGGAGUGCCUUCGGGAGCCAGGAGACAGGUGGUGCAUGGUUGUCGUCAGCUCGUGUCGUGAGAUGUUGGGUUAAGUCCCGCAACGAGCGCAACCCCUAUUGUUAGUUGCCAUCAUUCAGUUGGGCACUCUAGCGAGACUGCCGGUAAUAAACCGGAGGAAGGUGGGGAUGACGUCAAAUCAUCAUGCCCCUUAUGACCUGGGCUACACACGUGCUACAAUGGUUGGUACAACGAGUUGCGAGUCGGUGACGGCGAGCUAAUCUCUUAAAGCCAAUCUCAGUUCGGAUUGUAGGCUGCAACUCGCCUACAUGAAGUCGGAAUCGCUAGUAAUCGCGGAUCAGCACGCCGCGGUGAAUACGUUCCCGGGCCUU